rnacentral:lncRNA from 1 species
GAAAAUAAACCUAAGGAAAAGGAAGAGAGUAAUAAGGAAACCGUAGAAAAGAAAGAACCUUAUGUACCUCCACCGCCUUACAAACCACCUAUCCCUUAUCCUCAGAGGCUAAUUAAAACCAAAGACGCGGGCCAAUUUAAAAAAUUUGUUGACCUACUGAAACAAUUAAACGUCACCAUUCCUUUCACAGAAGCUAUUACACAGAUGCCCUCGUAUGCUAAGUUCUUA